AGAGUUUGAUCCUGGCUCAGGAUGAACGCUGGCGGCGUGCCUAACACAUGCAAGUCGAGCGAUCUCUUCGGAGAGAGCGGCGGACGGGUGAGUAACGCGUGGGUAACCUGCCCUGUACACACGGAUAACAUACCGAAAGGUAUACUAAUACGGGAUAACAUAUGAAAGUCGCAUGGCUUUUGUAUCAAAGCUCCGGCGGUACAGGAUGGACCCGCGUCUGAUUAGCUAGUUGGUAAGGUAAUGGCUUACCAAGGCAACGAUCAGUAGCCGACCUGAGAGGGUGAUCGGCCACACUGGAACUGAGACACGGUCCAGACUCCUACGGGAGGCAGCAGUGGGGAAUAUUGCACAAUGGGCGAAAGCCUGAUGCAGCAACGCCGCGUGAGCGAUGAAGGCCUUCGGGUCGUAAAGCUCUGUCCUCAAGGAAGAUAAUGACGGUACUUGUGGAGGAAGCCCCGGCUAACUACGUGCCAGCAGCCGCGGUAAUACGUAGGGGGCUAGCGUUAUCCGGAAUUACUGGGCGUAAAGGGUGCGUAGGUGGUUUUUUAAGUCAGAAGUGAAAGGCUACGGCUCAACCGUAGUAAGCUUUUGAAACUAGAGAACUUGAGUGCAGGAGAGGAGAGUAGAAUUCCUAGUGUAGCGGUGAAAUGCGUAGAUAUUAGGAGGAAUACCAGUAGCGAAGGCGGCUCUCUGGACUGUAACUGACACUGAGGCACGAAAGCGUGGGGAGCAAACAGGAUUAGAUACCCUGGUAGUCCACGCCGUAAACGAUGAGUGCUAAGUGUUGGAGGGUUUCCGCCCUUCAGUGCUGCAGCAAACGCAUUAAGCACUCCGCCUGGGGAGUACGACCGCAAGGUUGAAACUCAAAGGAAUUGACGGGGGCCCGCACAAGCGGUGGAGCAUGUGGUUUAAUUCGAAGCAACGCGAAGAACCUUACCAGGUCUUGACAUCCUUUGACCACUCUAGAGAUAGAGCUUUCCCUUCGGGGACAAAGUGACAGGUGGUGCAUGGUUGUCGUCAGCUCGUGUCGUGAGAUGUUGGGUUAAGUCCCGCAACGAGCGCAACCCUUAUUGUUAGUUGCUACCAUUUAGUUGAGCACUCUAGCGAGACUGCCCGGGUUAACCGGGAGGAAGGUGGGGAUGACGUCAAAUCAUCAUGCCCCUUAUGUCUAGGGCUACACACGUGCUACAAUGGCAAGUACAAAGAGAUGCAAUACCGCGAGGUGGAGCUAAACUAUAAAACUUGUCUCAAUUCGGAUUGUAGGCUGAAACUCGCCUACAUGAAGCUGGAGUUGCUAGUAAUCGCGAAUCAGCAUGUCGCGGUGAAUACGUUCCCGGGCCUUGCACACACCGCCCGUCA
rnacentral:rRNA from 1 species